rnacentral:rRNA from 1 species
UACGAAGGGUGCAAGCGUUAUUCGGAAUUACUGGGCGUAAAGCGUGCGUAGGUGGUUUGUUAAGUCUGAUGUGAAAGCCCUGGGCUCAACCUGGGAAUUGCAUUGGAUACUGGCAGGCUAGAGUGCGGUAGAGGAUGGCGGAAUUCCCGGUGUAGCAGUGAAAUGCGUAGAGAUCGGGAGGAACAUCUGUGGCGAAGGCGGCCAUCUGGACCAGCACUGACACUGAGGCACGAAAGCGUGGGGAGCAAACAGG